UGCUUCAUCGUUGAAUUUUGAAGAUUAGGUGCACUUUCAAUCUGCGUAUAUAUUUCAGCUGCAUCAAAUAUGCGAAGUAAUGGGUACCAAUUUUCAAUACUUUUUUCAAUGUAAUUACCAGUGACUGUGGAGGCUCAUCAGAAUCCACUAGCUGGAUAACUAUUUUACGGUGGUAUCGCGACAUGACUACACACAAAAGAGAUAUACUAGCAUCAAUAAUAAAGGGAUUCCAUUUUAGGAUUUUGAUAUGUUUUUAUAGGGGUCUUCCGAGAUUGCAUAUGUUGCGCAUGUUAUUGCAUUUGAAGCCAUUCAUAAAGAACCUACAAGGGCUAAGUUCCUCCAGCUAGACAGGUUGGUUAGGGGAGUUUUAGGUGGAUUCAUUGGAACCAGGAUUGAAUUGAUUAUAAUGAUUGCAAUACGAACUCAUAGAUGAGAAAACAACACCAAUUUUGGUACUAAGGUCGAUAAACACCAUGCAUAUAUCAAUAUCAGAUCAGUGUUAUUUUUAUUUUCAUCAAGUACAUUCUGUUUGGUCAAGGAUUGGGUUCCAAAGCAGGCUGGCAAGGGCACAUGCUCAGUAUAUUGUUCCGAUAUUGGAGACAGGGGACGUGAAGGACUUUCCAAAUCUCGCCAAUACCAUCAUUACUCCCACUGCCAGCACCUACCAUGGCCGAUACUUUAUUGGCAAAAAUGAGAUUUAGAAAGUCAGAUAUUUUCUACUACAGGAUUGUAGGGUCAUGGACCAUAAAUGCAUUAACUGAAAUUACUUGAAGGAGAACAAGUUAUUCACGGUUGCAGCCCAGUAGGGAUCCCAUUGCUCAGUUGGGAUCUGAAUUGAUGGCCAUAAUUACGAAGCAUAAUCUACUUGCUUCUUUCCCGGCAUGCCCUAUCGCAUGAUCGUUCUCCUUUUUGGUGGCCCGGUUGAUCGCGUGAUUGCAGGGUCAUGGGCCAUCAGUCUUCGUUACCAAACAUAUAUUUUUCUUUAAGACUUAACAUGUCAAACGUUUCUAGCUUUGAAUUGGUGCUAAAUGUAGGUCAAAUUGGAAUUGUAACUUCAGUGACUUUUUUGAGUACCUUACCGUUGU